ensembl:snoRNA SNORA72 Small nucleolar RNA SNORA72
AUGCCAAAUUCCCAUGUAUGAACACCUGCUAUGUAAAACCAUGUGAGUGUCCCCAGACCUUGUUCUUUCCCUACAUUUGGUUUUAUAAAUGCUGGUGAUAAAC